AGUGGCCGGAGAGUUGCUCAGGAGGGAGGACGUAGAAGAGGCUGAGUGAGGGGCCCGGUAGUUCGCCGAGGUGGGGUAGUUUGUGGCGGUGGUACCGGAGCUCCGAGUAGUUGCCGCCGGAGAAUGCCCGGUGAUUGUCGGAGAGGUGGGCAGAUCCACCUCCGACCCUUAAGCCAGAGACUCAGCCACCAGAGAAACGGCGGAGAACAAUUGAGGAUUUCAACAAAUUCUGCAGUUUUGUUUUGGCAUAUGCUGGUUACAUUCCCCCUAGCAAAGAGGAAAGUGACUGGCCAGCCUCUGGCUCCAGCUCUCCAUUGCGAGGAGAGAGUGCGGCCGACAGUGAUGGCUGGGACUCGGCCCCCUCAGAUCUUCGAACCAUCCAGACUUUUGUUAAGAAAGCAAAGUCAUCCAAGAGAAGGGCAGCUCAAG
rnacentral:lncRNA from 1 species